UUGCGAUGAAAUCUUCUCACUGACUUUAUAAGUUUAUUUGGUUGCAUUUCAGUUCACUUACACUCAAACCUGGUAAAAUAACUUCUUUCUCUUUAGUUGUAAUUGAUCAAAAUUGUUUAGUUACAAACAUCGGAUGCUCAACUUUGUGUUCGAAACUGUAACUUUUCUGAAAAUAUUGUUAUGUAAAAGUCAAAAGAUUGCAUUUUUAUGUUCCUUGAUAAGAAUAGAAGCCUUAAAAUGGCUAUUGAUCCCAUAAUGUUUAGUUAAGCUUUGUGACAGUGACUGUUCAAUCGCUAACUUUUGUCACCAUGUGUCUCUGUUGGUAACAUCUGAUGGAAAUCCUCGGAAGAUAGCUACAAGGUUACUUGAUCCUUUUCUUGCUCACUUGAAGACAACACAAGAUUAAGUUGCUAAAGGUGGCUACUCAAUUGUUCUCAAGCUUGAGGAUAGUGACGGUGCGACUUGGUUCACUAUUAUGGUUUUGAGAUUGAUACCAUCAACUUAUGAAAUCUGUUAACAACUUGAGGUCCAGUACUUCCAUGACCAUGCAGCAGUCUCCGUACCGCAGCUUUGAAGCAGAACCCAUUGAUCGAUGUAACAGCCACUCUAGAUACACCAGUCAUUUGGUGCUGACGCUGGAUACGACACAUCCUCCAAAACUUUCACCAAGUACAAUGCUAGAAACGUUACAAAGUACACUGAAUCAUUAUUCUCCACUCCUCACGCAAUCCAUCAUUGAAUGCAUAUACCAUUACUUCAUUUCUCUGAAUCCUGGAGAUUACCUCAACUAUAAAAAGAUUCCAAGGCUAAGAAUAAACAAAAGAAGCAGGAGGAUCCGCCUUUUGACGAGAUGGGUUUCACUAGCACAGUUAUUGUUCCUG